GACGAACGCUGGCGGCGCGCCUAACACAUGCAAGUCGAACGAGCGAGAGAGAGCUUGCUUUCUUGAGCGAGUGGCGAACGGGUGAGUAACGCGUGAGGAACCUGCCUCAAAGAGGGGGACAACAGUUGGAAACGACUGCUAAUACCGCAUAAGCCCACGACCCGGCAUCGGGUUGAGGGAAAAGGAGCAAUCCGCUUUGAGAUGGCCUCGCGUCCGAUUAGCUAGUUGGUGAGGUAACGGCCCACCAAGGCGACGAUCGGUAGCCGGACUGAGAGGUUGAACGGCCACAUUGGGACUGAGACACGGCCCAGACUCCUACGGGAGGCAGCAGUAGGGAAUAUUGCACGAUGGGGGAAACCCUGAUGCAGCGACGCCGGGUGGAGGAAGAAGGUCUUCGGAUUGUAAACUCCUGUUGUUGAGGAAGAUAAUGACGGUACUCAACAAGGAAGUGACGGCUAACUACGUG
rnacentral:rRNA from 1 species